rnacentral:rRNA from 1 species
AUUGAACGCUGGCGGCAGGCCUAACACAUGCCAGUCGAGCGGAUGAAGGGAGCUUGCUCCUGGAUUCAGCGGCGGACGGGUGAGUAAUGCCUAGGAAUCUGCCUGGUAGUGGGGGAUAACGUCCGGAAACGGGCGCUAAUACCGCAUACGUCCUGAGGGAGAAAGUGGGUGAUCUUCGGACCUCACGCUAUCAGAUGAGCCUAGGUCGGAUUAGCUAGUUGGUGGGGUAAAGGCCUACCAAGGCGACGAUCCGUAACUGGUCUGAGAGGAUGAUCAGUCACACUGGAACUGAGACACGGUCCAGACUCCUACGGGAGGCAGCAGUGGGGAAUAUUGGACAAUGGGCGAAAGCCUGAUCCAGCCAUGCCGCGUGUGUGAAGAAGGUCUUCGGAUUGUAAAGCACUUUAAGUUGGGAGGAAGGGCAGUAAGUUAAUACCUUGCUGUUUUGACGUUACCAACAGAAUAAGCACCGGCUAACUUCGUG